rnacentral:rRNA from 1 species
GACGAACGCUGGCGGCGUGCCUAAUACAUGCAAGUCGAGCGGACAGAAGGGAGCUUGCUGCCGGAAGUUAGCGGCGGACGGGUGAGUAACACGUGGGCAACCUACCCUGUAGAUCGGGAUAACAUCGAGAAAUCGGUGCUAAUACCGGAUAAUCAUUUGAAGUGCAUGCUUCGAAUGUAAAAGAUGGCUCCGGCUAUCACUACGGGAUGGGCCCGCGGCGCAUUAGCUAGUUGGUAAGGUAAUGGCUUACCAAGGCAACGAUGCGUAGCCGACCUGAGAGGGUGAUCCCCCACACUGGUACUGAGACACGGACCAGACUCCUACGGGAGGCAGCAGUGAGGAAUAUUGCGCAAUGGACGAAAGUCUGACGCAGCCAUGCCGCGUGCAGGAUGACGGCCCUAUGGGUUGUAAACUGCUUUUGUACGGGAAUAAACCCUUCUACGUGUAGGAGGCUGAAGGUACCGUAAGAAUAAGCACCGGCUAACUCCGUGCCAGCCGCCGCCGUAAUAC